UGUACCACCUAUAAUCGUUUUAAUCGAUGGGGGGACGCAGUAGGAUAGGCGAAGCGUGCGAUUGGAUUGCACGUCUAAGCAGUAAGGCUGAGUAUUAGGCAAAUCCGGUACUCGUUAAGGCUGAGCUAUGAUGGGGAGAAGACAUUGUGUCUUCGAGUCGUUGAUUUCACACUGCCGAGAAAAGCCUCUAGAUAGAAAAUAGGUGCCCGUACCGCAAACCGACACAGGUAGUCAAGAUGAGAAUUCUAAGGUGAG
rnacentral:rRNA from 1 species